AACGGUUAAUUUUUUUUCGUUCUCAAGUGAGUCUGUAAACUGUCUUUCCCCUACAGGGGGGGCUUUCCUACAGCGGAUAUAAGGCUGAAACAGACAGAGUGGGACCAUGCUGAUAACAUACUGUAUAAGCAGGCCAUUAGUGACCUCUGUGACAAAAUAAAACAACAAAAAAACUCUUUCCCUUGAGAAUGGAUUUGGGAAAGAUAACAUUGGGCAAAAGAUUGCUCCAAGAAUCACGGUCAGGCUGACUGACUAGACAGGGUUUCGACGCCAGGUCGGGAAGGGGCUGGCUUGAACACUGAACUGGAGACGACAGAGCAUUCUUCACAUCCGUUACGUAAAAGCACCCACACUGACACAAAAGAGCAUGUGAACACACGACGCAAAGACAACUGCCUGCAUGAGACACAGCCACACACACAGACAUUGAUAAGUGAGGCUAUCUCUUACCUUGAGCACACACAAGCCACUGAUGACAAAGCCCCAGCAGAGAUAUACACUGGAUAUACACAUGAUGCAUACAAACGCAUGCCUGAACACACAAUCAAUGUUGCUGGAAAAGACACUGUUUUUCUUGUGCCCGAUCAAUAUUAUCGGAAGAGGUAUGAUGAUAAGAUAAGGAAUUAUUCUGAUUUCCACUCCUGAAGGCAUCAUUGUAGCCAGAAUUUCUGACACUGCAUUACAAUAUGUGAAACACAGCGACAGGGAGCUGAUGUACUCUUAUCAAUGGAAGCUGCCUCACACAGCUGCUGGCUCUGUAAAUAACACUGCUCACAGAGGUCAAAGCUCUCUUUCCAGACAACUAUACAUGACAUCAAGGAACCACAAGAGUUACACUGCACAGCACAUCACAUGUACAUCUUGGGGUUGAUAAACACAUGGUUCAGGCAAGACAAAGAGAGAAACACACUAAAGCUGACCUGGUUGUACUGGAAUGAUAAAAAAACAUGCACUGUCUCAGUAGCUUUCAAUGAUCCACUUUGUAAAGCUUUGUUUCAGGUCCCUAACACAUAUUCUCAUGUCCCCCUGGUCAAAGCAAAGCAGGAUACAUGGGAAUGCAUGGGCCCUUGGACCAGACAUUGUGAGGAAGCUGCUGGUUGGGUAAAGACAUCAGACUCAGGUGUGGAUUUUCACAGACAACUUCAAGUAUUCCGGAAAAGAUUAUCAGCUAUAGCAACAGGGAAGUGAUUAUUCCAUAUGCAAGAUCUCCAGUCCGGACACCUAUUUUCCCUGUACGAAAAUUCCGGGACGCCGGAGAGCCACAACAUUGGAGAUUCGUGAAAGACUUACAGACGCAUCCCAGUGGAUCCUGACAGCCAGUAUUGGUUUGCAUUCUCUUUUGAAGAUUCCUGUGAACUCACAAUGGACCCAGACACAGCACACAGGAACCUUUUCCUGUAAGAGAACAACAUCGUGACAGAUGAAGAGGAGGAGCAGGCAUAUCCUGAUCUGAAAAGGAGUGGAUACAGUGAUGACAGCUAGAUUGGAAGGAACGACAGCUCAUUGAGUCUGGACUGCUCUGCUGUUAGUUACUCUGCCUGCCACAAUAACAGAGUCAAAAUCAUACACAGCCCUGCCCCUUCCUAACUGCAACAUUCUAGAGCGUACCACAACCACAUAAAUGCAUACCUACAGUGGCUUCAGAAAGCAUUCAGACCCCUUCACGUUUUGCGGAUUUUAUUGUGUUGUAGAUUUAAUUUUAAAUGCAUAAAAUUGCCUUUUUGCACAUCAAUCAAAACCAAUCAAAAACAUGUUUUUAGAAUUUUUUGCAAAUUUAGUAAAACUCAAAAACUGAAAUCUUAUGUAUUCAGUCUAACUGUAUUCAAACUCUUUGCUGUGGCACUUGUGGUCAGUGUUUCCUGUUUGCUUUAAUUGUCCUUGAGAUGUCCACCUGUGGCAAAUUAAAAUUAUUGGACAUAGUUUAGAAACCACACAUCUAUGUAUAUAAGGUCCCACAAUUCACACUGCAUGUCAGGACAAAAACCAAGCCAUGAAGUCCAAGGAGCUCUGUGUAAACCUCCACGAUACAAUUGUGGCGAGGCAUAAAUCAGGGCAAGGGUAUAAAACCAUUUCUAAACCUUUGAGUGUUCCGAGGAGCCUGCUUAGAGUUUGAGAAAAAAGAUUCUCUUGUCUGAUGAGAUAAAAAUGUAACUCUUUGGGCAGAACUCCAAGCACUGCUCAUCACCUGGCUAAUACCAUCCCUACAGUGAAGUAUAACUCGAAUAUAAUUAAAGCAAACAGGAUACACCUGACCACAAUUUGGAGUGCCACAGGAAAUGGUCUGAAUACUUAUAUAAAAGAGAGAUUUCAGUCUUUAUGCCUGCGCUCCGGUGAUAGCCCGAGAACCAGGCAUGGUUCUCGGGUUGUUCGUCCGUCCAUCCAUCCAUCCCAUACUCAUGAACGCGAUAUCUCAGGAAAGCCUUGAGGGAAUGUCUUCAAAUUUGGCACAAACGUCCACUUGAAGAAUGACACAAGAAUGAACUGAUUCGAAUUUAGUUGUCAAAGGUCAAGGUAACUGUGACCUCACAAAACAAGUUUUUUGCCAUAACUGAGGACCAUAUUUCACAGUUGGCCGGACAAUGAAUUGGUGAGACUUUUGACUCAAAGGUCAAAGGUCAUUGUGACCUCAAAACAGGUUUUUAGCCAUAAUUUAAGAAUGAAUUGGGCGAUUUCAGAUUUCACACACAUGUUGACUGGGACGACACAAUAAUUAGACAAUAACUAGCACAGUACAGGCUUUCCUCCAUCUGCAUUUCACUUCCUGCCUCAUUCUGAAUUUCGAGCGUCAUCAAAAUCACAUAACUGCAAACUUGCUAAUAAUGAUUCUGUGAGUGAGUGAGUGAAAAAAAAAGCACUAUAGCACUAAUCCAUCUUUACAUAGUAAUCAAGUACAUGUGUACCUGU